GCCGCCGCCUCCUCGGCCACGGCCUCCGCCUCCGCCUCCGCCUCCGCCUUCACCACCACAAUCAACCACGGUAAUGCAAAGUCUCGUUGCUUAUUAGCUGCCGCACCAUCUUCGACUUGUAGAGACCGAGUAUUCCAGGAAGAAGGCGGUUCGGUUGGUGAGUAGAGAAGAAGGCGGCGCGCGACGAGCAAGGAAGAACAUGGAUGCCAAAGCGCCGCCGGUGCAGCGAACGUGACGGCGACCAGACGUCAGAGCCUCGGCGGCAGCGGCAGCGGCAGCUGCUUGGAAGGUCUGCCAGGAGAAGCUGUUCAGCCUCAACCUAGGUGAGGAGCAUGUAUCCGCUGGCCUCUUCUACAUGGGAAGCAAGAGCGAAUUCUUCUUCGUGGAAGGAUGUCAGUGCUGAUCAGGUGCUUGAGGAGGGAGGCCCCAAUAGCUAUAUGUAUCGCAUGAUGAACUUUUCCCUCGCGUUUGACAAGAACGAAGACCUUAAGACUCAAAGCCGGCGAGUUCAAUCCUUCAAGGUGCCUAAAAACACAUCGGCUGAUUUCCUCUCUUGUGGCCCUGUGGCAUUUUUUCUGUAAAAUGCCAAAAUCAUGUCAUGAUAAUGUUCCUAUAUAUGUUUUCAUUCAGGUGUGAGUGUCUUUUCUCUCUUUAUUGAUGUGUAAUAAUUCAACUGUGAUUUCUGUUACUCUUUAUUAAUGUUUAAUAA